rnacentral:rRNA from 1 species
AUUGAACGCUGGCGGCAUGCCUUACACAUGCAAGUCGAACGGCAGCGCGGGAGCAAUCCUGGCGGCGAGUGGCGAACGGGUGAGUAAUAUAUCGGAACGUGCCCAGUAGUGGGGGAUAGCCCGGCGAAAGCCGGAUUAAUACCGCAUGAGACCUGAGGGUGAAAGCGGGGGAUCGCAAGACCUCGCGCUAUUGGAGCGGCCGAUAUCAGAUUAGCUAGUUGGUGGGGUAAAGGCCUACCAAGGCAACGAUCUGUAGUUGGUCUGAGAGGACGACCAGCCACACUGGGACUGAGACACGGCCCAGACUCCUACGGGAGGCAGCAGUGGGGAAUUUUGGACAAUGGGCGCAAGCCUGAUCCAGCCAUGCCGCGUGAGUGAAGAAGGCCCUCGGGUUGUAAAGCUCUUUUGUUGGGGAAGAAAAGCAUUCGGCUAAUACCCGGGUGUCCUGACGGUACCCAAAGAUAAGCACCGGCUAACUUCGUGCCAGCAGCCGCGGU